GCGCCAUUAGCUCAGUUGGUAGAGCAGUAGACUCUUAAUCUAUUUGUCCAGGGUUCGAAUCCCUGAUGGCGCA
rnacentral:tRNA from 1 species